rnacentral:rRNA from 1 species
GAUGAACGCUAGCUACAGGCUUAACACAUGCAAGUCGAGGGGCAGCGCAGUGUAGCAAUACAUGGGCGGCGACCGGCGCACGGGUGCGUAACGCGUAUCCAACCUUCCCGUUACUCAGGGAUAGCCUUCCGAAAGGGAGAUUAAUACCUGAUGGUGUUCAAAUUCCGCAUGUUAUUUGAACUAAAGAUUUAUCGGUAACGGAUGGGGAUGCGUGACAUUAGAUAGUAGGCGGGGUAACGGCCCACCUAGUCUACGAUGUCUAGGGGUUCUGAGAGGAAGGUCCCCCACACUGGAACUGAGACACGGUCCAGACUCCUACGGGAGGCAGCAGUGAGGAAUAUUGGUCAAUGGUCGGAAGACUGAACCAGCCAAGUAGCGUGAAGGAUGAAGGUUCUAUGGAUUGUAAACUUCUUUUAUACGGGAAUAAAACCUCCCACGUGUGGGAGCUUGUAUGUACCGUAUGAAUAAGCAUCGGCUAACUCCGUGCCAGCAGCCGCGGU